rnacentral:piRNA from 1 species
UGUGGCUAGACAGACUGGUGAUUUACC